UUUCCAUGUAAUAUCAUUCUCAUUACGUUAUCAACUGUAGCAUUGAGCCCAGUCAUACUUAUUAUAUCGGCCCAGGGCCACCUUAACUACGGCCGGCUCAAAAUGACUUUUCAUUCGAAAUUAGUGUUUUAAGUCCACUCAGGCGUUCACACUUCCUCCUUUGUGCCGGGUUUUUGCGUGAAAUACUAUUGUAUCAAAGCGAACUGAGCGACCCAGGUUCAGUUUACGUUCAAAUAUGAUGAUGAGUCGGCCCAAGUCCUGCAUUGCAGGACCCGAGCUGACUCUAAAGUCUGACUUAAUUUAGGUUGGCUCUGAGCUGGCUUAGAAUUUAUUGAUUGUUUACACUUAAAAAAAUGGUGGCCCAGAGCCAAUGUAACUGUUAAGGAUGAUUGGGCUUUCAGUCUAAAACGAUCAUUAUAUCAUUUUUUUAUAUUAUAUAAACAUACUAUGUCUUAUGUCUUAGUACCUGUACAUGCAUUAAGAACCCCGCCAAAACAAUUCCAUUCACCUUGACUCAAGUUAAAUGUUGAUCAAGCAUUCGAUUCUAGAUUUAGUCCACAUUAUCAUAUAGUGUAAUACAACAGUACAGUAAAUCAAAAUAUUUAAUUCAUUUUUUCAGCAUUAUUGUAGAUCUAUUCUUCAUUAAUCCUUAUAAAACAAUACCAUAAUUAUGAAUAUAUUUUGAAGUAUAAAAACACUAAGUGAGAUUUAAGCCCUAUCCUGAUUUAUAAAACUAAAAGGCACUGUAUAUAUUCCUGUAUUAUUACCUCCACCAAGUAGGUUACGUAUUCACUGUCUGUCUGUUAGCAAGAUAGGAUCAUCAUAAAAUAUAGUGGAAUGGUACAUAAUAAUCGAAGAAAGACACCAUUCAAUUUUCGGAAGAAAAGUUCAAAGGACAAGGUCAGGGUCAGGGAAAUUUGAUUUAUUAUCCUAGCAUAAACAAAUAAUGGAUUCACCCCACAAUUCAGGCAUUGCUCUAGACAACAAUGUGCCUAAAACACGAGGGAAAUUUCAUUAUUUCAUUGAGGGUAUGCUGCAGUUCGCCCAUUACACUGCUUGCGUAUUGUUGAUACUGUAUUCAGGCACAGAGUGGAGGUAUGCACUCUAUGGAGUGACUGCUCUAGCUAUUAUCAUGUACCUGGUCAAGAUGACCAAACAAAAAAGCCAGUGUGAACAAACUGCAUAAAACUCCCCUUGACCAAAUUUCCUGUCGUAAGUUUAACCAUUGAGGAAAAAACUGCGAGAGGCCCGACUCUCUGGGUUCCGUUUGAACGUAAUCCUGUUUCAGAAAGUACUACCAUGAACUAGAGGGCGUCCUUCAAAAUGCAAGUUUUUAACUCUAUUCAAAUACUAAUAGGGCGCCCCCUAUCUCGUGGUAGUACUUCUGCUUUAUACUUUUUAUUGUGAGCAUACAAAAUCACUGCAGUCAGACUUCUUGCAAUUCUAUACUCUGGUUUAACCAUAGAGGAACAAACUUAGCAAGAUUAACCAGAAAAAAAGUCUAAUGUGAACAGUGAUGCUCGGUUGGAUCUUCCUGAGCAUGUUUUAAUACCACACGCAUUGUUAAACAUACCACAGAAUGAUUAAACUGACUAUUUUAAUUCAAGUGUGAACAGCUUUAGCCAAAGUAUAGUUGCCCGUGUGUUUCUGAAAAUAAUUUCCAAUGUGAACAUAGCUUUAAUUUUAGAGAAUCACCAAGUGUUGAAUCACUCACUUUCGUAGGAUAAUAAAAUAAAUAUAAUUUUUUUGUAUUAACAUUUUUCAGUACUUAAAACUGUAUCAUAAUUGUAAAUACAACUAUUGUUUAUAUAUGCACAUACAUAAUAUAUAAAUUAUAUAUACAUAUGUCUAUAUUUAUUGUUAAUUACAUUAAUGCUUCUUUCGUCACACUCUGGACCUGGAUUGUGUUAAUAACUUAAUAGUUAAAACUCACUUUGUAUAUUUGAGUAAGUUAUUAUUUUUAAUUAAAAGUUAUUAUAUAUAUGUUAUGAAAAAACGUUCUUCCAGUUAUUAGAAUUGUAGUACAAUAGUUCAGUUCCUGUAUUCUUUGGCAUAGACCAUUAAAUUGGCGUGCAAUACGUUUAAGAAGUUUCUUAGUAAAACCAUGGAGGAAUUAGUUUAGAAAACUGAACUAAUUCCUCCAUGGUAAAACAUUUGUAGUCAGCGAAGAAUGGACCUUUCCCGGAGUGUCAAAUUUAACAGUUGACCAAUCAGAAUAGGACCACGUGUUUUGCACCACAGACUACAUUUACGCGAUUGUUUUGAGGGUCUUUGGAACAACAUCCAAAGGGCGGAGUUUAUAUUGAUAUGUACGUCAUUGGAAGAUAAUGACUUAAUUGAUUUUCAAGCUGUUAAGUUAUAUUGUUAACUAAUAUUCGAUAAAAUUAGUAAUAAAUCUGAAGAAAUCAA